GAUGAACGCUAGCUACAGGCUUAACACAUGCAAGUCGAGGGGCAGCAUGAACUUAGCUUGCUAAGUUUGAUGGCGACCGGCGCACGGGUGAGUAACACGUAUCCAACCUGCCGAUGACUCGGGGAUAGCCUUUCGAAAGAAAGAUUAAUACCCGAUGGCAUAGUUCUUCCGCAUGGUAGAACUAUUAAAGAAUUUCGGUCAUCGAUGGGGAUGCGUUCCAUUAGGUUGUUGGCGGGGUAACGGCCCACCAAGCCUUCGAUGGAUAGGGGUUCUGAGAGGAAGGUCCCCCACAUUGGAACUGAGACACGGUCCAAACUCCUACGGGAGGCAGCAGUGAGGAAUAGUGGUCAAGGGACGAGAGUCUGAACCAGCCAAGUAGCGUGAAGGAUGACUGCCCUAUGGGUUGUAAACUUCUUUUAUACGGGAAUAAAGUGAGGCACGGGUGCCUUUUUGUAUGUACCGUAUGAAUAAGGAUCGGCUAACUCCGUG
rnacentral:rRNA from 1 species